rnacentral:tRNA from 1 species
GUUUCUGUAGUGUAGUGGUUAUCACGUUCGCCUCACACGCGAAAGGUCCCCAGUUCAAUACUGGGCGGAAACA